CAGGAAAGAGUUAUUCUUUGUGAUUUCAUUGGUAUUGUAAAAAGUCAGCAACUUAUUUACUUGAAAGGGGAAGCAGUGAAUAACCAUGAUGAGCUAAUGUUGAAUUUUUUCGCACAGCCAGAUGUUCUUGCUUAUGGGAAGACUCAAGAAUAGUUGCUUAGUGAGAACGUCGCUGACCACCUUAUUCCUCACCAGACUUUUUCUGGCAACCUUCCAUCACUGAGUCUACUACUACCCUCAUUAAGUGCUUACAACAAUGGACAGCUGCUAGCCAUAUAUGAGCACAAAAUUGCGGUUGAAGGUUUCAUAUGGGGGAUUAACUCUUUCGACCAAUGGGGUGUGGAGUUGGGCAAGUCACUGGUCACUCAAGUCGGAAAGCAACUCAACCUUUCUUGCACAAAAGGGGAGCCUGUUGUGGGUUUUAAUUGCAGUACCUCCACUUUGUUAACAAGAUACCUUGAGUCAACUCUUCAAAUUCAAAUAUGUUUCUCUGGUUCGUGCGAUGCUACUGCUAGACUGUGGGAUACUCGAAAAGCUAGUCCAGUAGUUUGAACUUAUCAUGGUCAUGAGGGGGAUGUUAAUGCUAUCAAAUUUUUUCUUGAUGGACAAAGAUUUGGGACUGGCUCUGAUGAUGGCACGUGCCGAUUAUUUGACAUGGGGACAGGGCAUCAACUUCAGGUUUAUGGUCAGCAGCAUGACUGUAACGAUAAUGAUGUCCCCAUUGUCACAUCCAUUGCCUUCUCAACAUCAGGUGGACUCCUUUUUGCUGGAUACUCCAAUGGGGAUUGUUAUGUAUAGGACACACUGGUAGCUGAGGCAGUCCUGAAUUUGGGUACUUUGCAAAACCCUCAUGAGGGCCGUACAAGCUGCCUAGAAUUCAAACAUUUCCGCAUCUUUAACUGAUGGAAGAGAGAACAAAACCUGAGGAAGAACUCCCAUUUCAAGAAACAAUAGUCCCAGGAUGAACCCCCCUCCUAGUCCAAGCAGUCCUUCAACGAUCCCAGCUAACAGCCCACAGAAAUAGUAGAGGAGCAGCUGAUGCAUUUCACAUCUCAUGUCUUGCUUCCCCCUAGAGGCAAUUGUCCUGGUUCCUUUGUAGAGGUUGGUGGCUUUAUAAAGUGUGACAGAACCAGCAAUUGGCACCUGCAUAGCAUAAAAUGUCAGUCAAGUUUCUUCCACCA